rnacentral:rRNA from 1 species
ACGAACGCCGGCGGCGUGCAUAAUACAUGCAAGUCGAACGCUUCUUGAUCCACCGGAGCUUGCUCCACCGGAAUAAGAGGAGUGGCGAACGGGUGAGUAACACGUGGGUAACCUGCCCAUCAGACGGGGAUAACACUUGGAAACAGGUGCUAAUACCGUAUAACAAUCGACACCGCAUGGUUUUGAUUUGAAAGGCGCUUUCGGGUGUCGCUGAUGGAUGGACCCGCGGUGCAUUAGCUAGUUGGUGAGGUAACGGCUCACCAAGGCCACGAUGCAUAGCCGACCUGAGAGGGUGAUCGGCCACAUUGGGACUGAGACACGGCCCAAACUCCUACGGGAGGCAGCAGUAGGGAAUCUUCGGCAAUGGACGAAAGUCUGACCGAGCAACGCCGCGUGAGUGAAGAAGGUUUUCGGAUCGUAAAACUCUGUUGUUAGAGAAGAACAAGGAUGAGAGUAACUGUUCAUCCCUUGACGGUAUCUAACCAGAAAGCCACGGCUAACUACGUGCCAGCAGCCGCGGUAAUACGUAGGUGGCAAGCGUUGUCCGGAUUUAUUGGGCGUAAAGCGAGCGCAGGCGGUUUCUUAAGUCUGAUGUGAAAGCCCCCGGCUCAACCGGGGAGGGUCAUUGGAAACUGGGAGACUUGAGUGCAGAAGAGGAGAGUGGAAUUCCAUGUGUAGCGGUGAAAUGCGUAGAUAUAUGGAGGAACACCAGUGGCGAAGGCGGCUCUCUGGUCUGUAACUGACGCUGAGGCUCGAAAGCGUGGUUAGCAAGCAGGAUUAGAUACCCUGGUAGUCCACGCCGUAAACUUUGAGGGCUAAGUGUUGGAGGGUUUCCGCCCUUCAGUGCUGCAGCUAACGCAUUAAGCACUCCGCCCUGGG